GAUUUUCAGAAAUAGAAAAGAAAGCAUUCUCUCCCCCUCCCUUCACACAUUAUAUCAGCAUUGCAGGGUAUGAGGAAAGUUAUAGUUUAUGAAAUCAUACUUAAUAUUGUAAUGUUAAAAAGAAAAAAGAUUUAAUUUUUCAUAAUAUAAGAAAUAAAUUGGAAAGAGCUCCUUGGCUGGUGGGAAUACAAAGACAGACCAAGAAGUAUUCAGAGUAAAGCCUAUCUAUAAUCAGUGAGGUAUAUAACAAACUGUAUACGCAGAGAUGUUUGUUGUGGAUAUGGUACCAUUCAUACUGCUAUUCCUUAAAGUUU
rnacentral:lncRNA from 1 species